UUGAACGCUGGCGGCAGGCCUAACACAUGCAAGUCGAGCGGUAGCACAGAGAGCUUGCUCUCGGGUGACGAGCGGCGGACGGGUGAGUAAUGUCUGGGAAACUGCCUGAUGGAGGGGGAUAACUACUGGAAACGGUAGCUAAUACCGCAUAAUGUCGCAAGACCAAAGUGGGGGACCUUCGGGCCUCAUGCCAUCAGAUGUGCCCAGAUGGGAUUAGCUAGUAGGUGGGGUAACGGCUCACCUAGGCGACGAUCCCUAGCUGGUCUGAGAGGAUGACCAGCCACACUGGAACUGAGACACGGUCCAGACUCCUACGGGAGGCAGCAGUGGGGAAUAUUGCACAAUGGGCGCAAGCCUGAUGCAGCCAUGCCGCGUGUGUGAAGAAGGCCUUCGGGUUGUAAAGCACUUUCAGCGGGGAGGAAGGGAGUAAAGUUAAUACCUUUGCUCAUUGACGUUACCCGCAGAAGAAGCACCGGCUAACUCCGUGCCAGCAGCCGCGGUAAUACGGAGGGUGCAAGCGUUAAUCGGAAUUACUGGGCGUAAAGCGCACGCAGGCGGUCUGUCAAGUCGGAUGUGAAAUCCCCGGGCUCAACCUGGGAACUGCAUUCGAAACUGGCAGGCUAGAGUCUUGUAGAGGGGGGUAGAAUUCCAGGUGUAGCGGUGAAAUGCGUAGAGAUCUGGAGGAAUACCGGUGGCGAAGGCGGCCCCCUGGACAAAGACUGACGCUCAGGUGCGAAAGCGUGGGGAGCAAACAGGAUUAGAUACCCUGGUAGUCCACGCCGUAAACGAUGUCGAUUUGGAGGUUGUGCCCUUGAGGCGUGGCUUCCGGAGCUAACGCGUUAAAUCGACCGCCUGGGGAGUACGGCCGCAAGGUUAAAACUCAAAUGAAUUGACGGGGGCCCGCACAAGCGGUGGAGCAUGUGGUUUAAUUCGAUGCAACGCGAAGAACCUUACCUGGUCUUGACAUCCACAGAACUUUCCAGAGAUGGAUUGGUGCCUUCGGGAACUGUGAGACAGGUGCUGCAUGGCUGUCGUCAGCUCGUGUUGUGAAAUGUUGGGUUAAGUCCCGCAACGAGCGCAACCCUUAUCCUUUGUUGCCAGCGGUUCGGCCGGGAACUCAAAGGAGACUGCCAGUGAUAAACUGGAGGAAGGUGGGGAUGACGUCAAGUCAUCAUGGCCCUUACGACCAGGGCUACACACGUGCUACAAUGGCAUAUACAAAGAGAAGCGACCUCGCGAGAGCAAGCGGACCUCAUAAAGUAUGUCGUAGUCCGGAUUGGAGUCUGCAACUCGACUCCAUGAAGUCGGAAUCGCUAGUAAUCGUAGAUCAGAAUGCUACGGUGAAUACGUUCCCGGGCCUUGUACACACCGCCCGUCACACCAUGGGAGUGGGUUGCAAAAGAAGUAGGUAGCUUAACCUUCGGGAGGGCGCUUACCACUUUGUGAUUCAUGACUGGGGUG
rnacentral:rRNA from 1 species